rnacentral:rRNA from 1 species
AUUGAACGCUGGCGGCAGGCCUAACACAUGCAAGUCGAACGAGCGGCGGACGGGUGAGUAAUGUCUGGGAAACUGCCUGAUGGAGGGGGAUAACUACUGGAAACGGUAGCUAAUACCGCAUACCAUCAGAUGUGCCCAGAUGGGAUUAGCUAGUAGGUGGGGUAACGGCGCACCUAGGCGACGAUCCCUAGCUGGUCUGAGAGGCUGACCAGCCACACUGGAACUUAGACACGGUCCAGACUCCUACGGGAGGCAGCAGUGGGGAAUAUUGCACAAUGGGCGCAAGCCUGAUGCAGCCAUGCCGCGUGUAUGAAGAAGGCCUUCGGGUUGUAAAGUACUUUCAGCGGGGAGGCGUUACCCGCAGAAGAAGCACCGGCUAACUCCGUGCCAGCAGCCGCGGUAAUAC